UACGGAGGGUGCAAGCGUUAUCCGGAUUCACUGGGUUUAAAGGGUGCGUAGGUGGGUCUGUAAGUCAGUGGUGAAAUCUCCGGGCUUAACCCCGGAAACUGCCAUUGAUACUAUAGAUCUUGAAUUAUCUGGAGGUUAGCGGAAUAUGUCAUGUAGCGGUGAAAAUGCUUUAGAUAUGACAUAGAACACCCGAUUGCGAAGGCAGCUGACUACAGGUAUAUUGACACUGAGGCACGAAAGCGUGGGGAUCGAAACAAGG
rnacentral:rRNA from 1 species